CCUUAUGCAUGCUAAGCAUGCACUCUACCACUGAGCUAUACCCUCCCCACCAUCAGAUUUUAAGAGAAAUAACCAGGAGCUAAAGAGAGGACCUUUGAGGCUAGGUUAGCUUUUCCUGAACACUCUCAAUAGAUAGAAAUAUGUAUAACGUGUGUAUGUAAAGUACUACCGCACAGCAAUACAUGGUAUAAAGUGCUUUAUGCACAAUGAGUUGUUUAAUGCUCAACAAUCCUACAAAGUGGGUACUAUUGCCCUUAUUUUACAGAUGAGGAAACUGAAGCACAGAGAGGGUAAUGACUUAUCCAAGGUACACAGCUAGAAAGUAGAGCCAGGAUUCAAACUGAGAUGGAAUACGUGACCACAUGUCAUAUCCUGCCUCACAAUAUAUAUGGAUUAUGCUUUUCCAUGUGGGAUGAAGAUCAGAGACAAGCCUUGGAGGGCCAGUCUACCUGUGGUACCUACUUUUACCAGUAACUAUCUACUCUAGGGUCUGCAGGAGUUUAACAUGCCAUGAAGGAAGAAUAAGAAAUAAGGAUGGGACAGAAAAAUGACCAGGACUAAAAGUGAAUUUUAGCACGAUAACAUUAUAAGAACACUAAAUGUGGGCCACAGUUUGGUUUUUAAAGAUUGACAUGGGAACCUUACAAUUUUAUAGCUCACAGUUUCUAUGAAAUGGAAAUUGACUAAAUGUUUUAAGGGGCUUAAUGGGAUUCUUGUUAGUAAAAAGAAUUUCUGCCUGGAUUCCUGGUAAGUAAAAUACAUCACAAGGGUUUAUUUUUCAUGUAAUGAAUUUUACAAGUCGAUAAGGAAAGACAAACACCUCAAAAAUUUGGUAAGCAAUUUACAGAAGAAUAUAAAAAUCCUUUAAACAAGAAUGUUCAACCUCACUAAUAAAGCUAUAUAACAAUACCUUAGCAUUUUUUACCCAGUAAAAUGUUUUGUUGUUAUUGUCUGAUAGUAUUCUGUUGGUCAACUUUGGAUUAUCUAAAUUGCUUCAAAAUUUUUUGGUAGGCAAUUGGACAGUGUAUCAUAAGCUUUUAAAACUGGGUAAACUUUGGUCUAGUGAUUCCACUUGUAGAAAUUUAAGAAAAUAAUUAUGGAUAUUUGAAAAUAUCUUUCUACACAAGGAUAUUCUUUAGAGUAUUUCUCAGGAAAAUGAAAAAUUAGAAAUAAUCUUACAUUCAGCAAUAUCCAUUUGCUAUGGGAUAUCUGCAGUACUUUGCCAUUAGAAAAAAAUAUAAACUUUGAAGAGGCUACAAUUGCUAUGUCGGGAAUCACUUUUGGAACAACUAUAGCUUAUAAAACAAAAUAGAGCAAAUCUCUAAUCUUGAGGGGAGGGAAAUUAGGAAACCAUUGUUCCCUUACUUCCCACUCCCCAUUUUCUUUUUAACUACCAAAAAUAACAUAUGACACCAAGAGUCUAAGAAUCUAAGAUAGGUUCUGCUGAAAUUCAGACUGUCUCUUCAUGCAGGAAAGAGACCUAAACUUUACCUUACACAAAGAAAAAGGAAAACCUUUCUCGGUACAAAAUCUACUAAAAAUUUCCAAACCUGUUUCUACUCUCUGAAACUCACAGCCCAAAUACAGCAGCUGAAGCAAGUGAGUCAAAUAAAUUUCUUGAUUUCCUACCAUGAAGUCCAGGCACCAUCCUGGGCAGGCACUGGGCCUAGGAAGGUUAUUUUAGCGCCAUCUACCUGACCUCUAAGGGCUCUCAGUCUAGUUGGAGGAGUAAUUUCUUACUGUUUAGUCUUGGGACUUCAUUAAAAUAAUGUGAAUUUCAAGACUCAGAGUUCAGGUUAUUUUGCACAAAGCCGAGAAGCAUCUGGAAAAGUCUUGAGUCAGGAGAUGUGGCGUGUCCCCCUUACUUUCAUCCCUCUUAAAAAUAGCCACUGUUGUCCACGAACAGGCAAUGGACGCCAUGGAGACUCUGAAUCCGGAAUAUCUGAGGGUGACCGGGAAGGUCGGGAGGUGGCUUUUUGAUUCUCUGGCCGUUACCCUGUUGACCCGGACACCAACCGUUUCUUUGCGUUUACGUCACAGAGAUGCUGCUGCUUCGAUCUAUUUCAGUGGAAAAUCUCGCCCUUUCCGCUAGGUGUCAGGAUGGCCGAGUGGUCUAAGGCGCCAGACUCAAGCUACGCUUCCCCGCGUUGGGGAUUCUGGUCUCCGUAUGGAGGCGUGGGUUCGAAUCCCACUUCUGACACAUUCCUUUUUUUUCCCUUCCCCUAAUUUCAAAA